AACUUUUGGCAAUGGAUCACUUGGCUCCCGCAUCGAUGAAGAACGCAGCGAAAUGCGAUACGUAAUGUGAAUUGCAGAAUUCAGUGAAUCAUCGAAUCUUUGAACGCACCUUGCACUCUUUGGUAUUCCGAAGAGUAUGUCUGUUUGAGUGUCGUGAAAUUCUCAACCCCCCUAUUUUGUAAUGAAAUAGGUUUUGUGGGCUUGCAUUAUGGCUGCCUGUCGGCUCGUUGCGAGUCGGCUCAGCUCAAAUACACGAGCAACCCAGUUGAAACAGCGACGGCUUGACUCGGCGUAAUAACAUAUUUCGCUGAGGACGUCCACUGUACGUGUCAAGCAGUGGAGGCUACUAAUACGUAUUCAUUUUAAACUUUAGACCUCAAAUCAGAUAGGACUACCCGCUGAACUUAAGCAUAUCAAUAAGCGGAGGCU
rnacentral:misc_RNA from 1 species